AAAAUACACAUACUAACACAAACAAAAGUUCCCGUUUUGGACUGUGAGCUAGGCCUGUAGAUCUGUUAAAGAAAAACAAGCUAGCGUUAGUUAAACCUCCGAACCCAAUUUACAUAAUGUGUCUAGAUCCGCCGUGUCAACUCAACCCAGCACUUUGCUGUAACUUAGCUAGCUAGCUAGCUAACGCUAUCGCUUGCUGACCAAAAAUAGCCGAACAAAAGCUACAAUCUAAGCAGAGCAUUUUGUGGCCUUAAAUGGUUGAGCUAAAGGCACUGGCCCUGCAGACUGGACCAGAGUUCAUGGUGAGCAUCGUAGACCUCCUCACUGCUGGGCCUGUGCCUGGAUCACCGAGCUCGUUAGAUGUUCGCUGCUCAUGCUAAGCCCUUGAAACAGUAGUUGGUCAAUAUUGGAUAAUAAAAUAUAAUACAUUA